CCUCAGAAUCCUGCUGCUGGAUGACACCACAGGCAAAGUUCAGCAGCUUCACUUACAGACUCUGAAACAAAAGAGAAAAUUAUCAAGAAAUACAGAGAAGCAGAGACUCAAUCUCCAGAAUGAAUGAGAAGCAGAAUCAUGAAUUCCAACACUUUCUCUCCCUUAGGAUUCUUGUCUAUUUGGCAUUAAUCUGGGAACAAUAAAAUUCAGUUGACAAGGCA
ensembl:lncRNA novel transcript